GUCUGUACAGAUACAUUGUAUCUAGUAAUAAUUUAGAAUUUUUUUGCUUUGUACAUAUAUUAAUUCCCUUCUAUAUUGAGGGUGUUUAGUUCUUAACAGUAUCUUAGAAAAUAAUUUUUUAAUUGAAAAAAUAUUUUUCAUCUGUUUAGUUUCUAAAAAAUAUAGGUUUUCUUAAAAAGUCAAUUCUAUAAUAAAAAAUGUUAUAAUAAUUUAUUCAAUAGACAAUCUUUGCGGCAAAAGUAGAAAUACUAAAUUGAAACUUCUAUUUUUGAGCCUCUAAAUCUCAUUUUUGAUUACUGCUGCAGUAGAAGCUAUACACUUUUCAGUUUAUCGAAUACUAUAUAUAUUUGAGAUGGCAAUUGAUAAAAAGCAGGAGUAGGAUCAAACAAUCAAAGCGGCACGUACUGGCCAUGUAAUUUGGAUUCUCAAAAUAAAAUAUCUAAUUUAAAGCUUCUCUACAGUAUCCUCAAACCAUAAUGGCUUCCACUCACAGAUAAACAAUAACUAAUGUUGCAAUUUCCUUUUUUAUCAUCAGUCAUAAAUUUUUUCCGCAGAGCUAGCUUUUCAUUAAAAAAAAGUUUAGGCAUUUCUACAAAAUCUGUUGAAAUAAUAAUUUUACAAAAACUCUAUAUGCCAUGAUUAUCAUAGUCUCUAAAUGAUUAAAAAAAAAAUCUAAAAUAUGACGUUGACACCACGUCAUUUAUAUUCCCAACCAAUCAAACUAUGCUCCUGAAGUUCAUCGAUCCAUCGAUCCCAUCAUAAUUUUUUUCAAAAAAAAUUAUAUUUUCCCUCAAAGAAAAAAAAUUUGAUUGGUUGAGGUAUAGAUAAUGUGGCGCUGCAGCUAUAUAAAAGACCAUUUCAUGAUCCAUUAUUUUUUUUUCAAUAUUAUCUACUAUUAUAAAAUAAAAUAUCAGAUAUAAAGUAUCUCAGAUCUCAUUAUUACAUAACCAGUCAAAAGUGUAUGGGCAUAAUGCAUGCAUAAAUUUCUAUUUAUUUUAGUCACAGCUUGUCAUGCAAGAGGCAAAAAGGUGCACCAAAAUCUUUUGCUUGUAGGUAAAUUUUUGCAUUAUCUAAUUUAGUCAAAAAAGCAAGGAUAUUGUGGAAAGAGAAAGGGGAACAAAGAUGGAUGAUUUGUUAAUUUUCUAUUCAGAAGAAAUAUUUUAGUGUUUUAGAUAGGAUUCCAUACUAAAAUAUUUCCUUGGAAAAGAGUACAAAAUGUUCUUGUCCCCACUUUUUAGAAACUACAACCUAACCACUCUUUUUUUUUUUUCUACUACAACAUAAUUUCUCAUUUUUGUCCUAGUUUGUACUGUGAUAUCUAGAGAUAGAAAGAGAGUUUGUACUGUGAUAUCUAGAGAUAGAAAGAGAGUUCCAUGUGGUUUCAUUUCCUGCAUGACUGUUUGAAUGCAGGAAAAAGAAAAAACUUAUAUUAGAUGUAGCUAAAAUGAUUUUUAAUAAGAUCCCUAGAGCAAGUGGCAAGAGACUUGGUGAUUGAUAUCCGAGACCCAAGUUCGAAUCCUAGUUGAUUCACAUUUCUAGUUAAGUUUAUUUCUAAAUGAAAUAAAUGAAGCCAGUAGUGUGCUACCUAUCUCUCGGAAGAAGGAAAAAAAAAAAGAUGAGUUAAUGAUGUCACUACAAUAGAAUUAGGUUAUAGGAAUACAUGUUUGGGACACUUUUGAGUAAGUGUCCCAUUUAUGCUAAAACUUAAAAACACAUCUACUAAUGCCUAAAUAUAAAGCCCAAUUCAACCAAAAAUAAAAGAUUACUCUACUCAACCCACCACACCCAGUCCAUUUGGCCCGAUUACAAACAGAAAAGAAAAAAAAAAAAGAAAAAUCAAUUACCAUCUUUUCUUCUCUCUUCACUCAAUCCACUGAAAUUCUAGACGAAGAGCCUUUCCUGUCUUCCUCGUCCGCCACCGCAGCCAACGAGAUAGAGUUUCGGCGGUUGCUAAAUGCUUAAAUAAGUAUUCGUAAAUUAACAGCACUCUUUUAGGUUAUAGCGACACUCUUUAACUGUCACUAUAUACCUAGCGACCCCAUAUAUAGCAACACUUUUUAAAAGUGUCGGUAAUUUUAGCUAGAAGCACUUUUUUGACAUGUACCUAUAUUUAAAAGUGUCGCUAUAGACCGUUUUUAUUGUAGUGUGUAUCAAUUUUUGCUCCUAACUUAAUGGGUCUAACCAGUUAAGUGUUUAAAUGUUAAUGGUUCAGUCAACAUGCGCUAUAUAUCACUCAUUUGACACCUUUUUAUUGAAAAUAGUAUCAGAUACAUUUGGCUCUUUUUUAUUGAAAAUAGUAUUAUAUGGAUGCAUCUGAUACAACUUUUUUUUCUUUAUUUUUUUUCUUAAUGCAGAUAGAAUCAUUGGAGGUAGUAAAAAGGCUAUCACUUCUCAGGGUAGGGAGACUAUUUACAUGCAUCUGAUAAUAGUUAUUUCCAUAAUGCAAAUAGAGUUAUUGGAGGUGGUAAAGGGUCUAUCACCUCUCAGAAUGUGUUUGGUUGAAUGUAAGUGGUUGCCACCAAGUAUAGGUCCAAAUUGUGUAUCCUCUUUUGUUGUAUUAAAUAACACAAAAGUACUGUGGUGAAGUUUUCCAAAACAUAAUGCGGUUAAUUGCAUACAACUCUCUGUAAAUAUAUCGAAUAGCAGAUAUAUUUCUAAAAAAUUCAACUUUUUAUUUUUAUUCCUGCAAAAAUCCUAAUAUAUUCAAAUAUAUAUACUCCUACUGUUAUGAUCCGUUAGAAAAAUGUAGUUAAUCAUAAGUAAAAUACUUAAUCCUAAUUAGCGAAUGAGUUAAAUUUAUAUUUUUGCCCUUUUUAUAUUAUUGGAUAAAAUUUUUUUUUAGAAGAAACAUAAUUCUAACCGUUGCAAUUUUUGAAGAAAUAUAUUUAUAAGAACAAAAAUAUCAUUUCGCUUAUCUGCUGUUUAAAAAUAAACCGUGCUCUAACGUAACAAACCAGAGGGGCAAAUAUGAAUAUCACUGAACUUUUGCACGGAUAAAAAUAAAAAGUUAAACUUUAUAUGAAUAUAUUUCCUGUUUGAUAUGUUUAUGGGGAGCUGUAUGCAAUUAACCCAAAAUAAUAAUACUAAAAUUUUCAGUCUGAUUUCCCAAAAUGAGAGGUAGAGGGUUUCUCUGCUUGAUUAAAAAGCUGAAGUUUCAGCAAAAAUGCCCUUACAGUAAAGCAAGGGCUUUUCACCAAAUUUUUUAAUAAACACAAGAUGUGACUUAAAUUAAAUAGAGGAAAUUAACUAAAAAUAUGAGCCUAGUGCUAAGAAUCUUCUACUCUAAUACAAUGUGAAGCAACCAUUAUUUUUCUGAAAACUUAAGCUAGCAAAAAAUUGCUAUGGCACUCCAAUAAUCCGACAUCGAAUAAUAUGAAAGAGCGUGAAGGGCUUAUACCUGACAAGCACGCUAAUAUUAAUAACUAGACUUAAGUAUUUUUGACUAGUAGUUUGAGCCCAACGCAUUAUUAAUGCUAGCGGACUGAAUAAUUAUAGUUUCUAUUUGAGCUGAUUCACUAGCAAAAAGCGUGAGGUAGGCCUCAUAUCGUCUGAUGAUCUUGAACUAUAUAUGCGAUUGAGCUGACGAGAACGUCAAAGCUUAGAACCAGAAAUAGUAUGUCACACUCCUAUAAUCCCACAUCGGAUAAAAUGAAAUACUGUAAAAGAAUUACAUGUGAUGAUUGUGACGAUUACACUAAUUCUAAUAAUUAGACUGACGCAUUUUGGACCGAGUAGUUUGGAUACACGAAUUCUUAGUGCUGGUGGGCUGGAUCAUUACAACAAAUAUUCGUAAGUCUAUUCAACGCACAUGCGCGCAGCGAAAGGCCCAUAUUACUUUGGCCCAAAUAUGAUCAACCCAAGCCAAACUUAAAUAUUUUGAACAUAAUAGCUAUGCCUCUAUGUAUAUGUAUUAAGCACAUCUGAUCUACAAGUUAAACAAGGAAACAUUUGAGAUCUCUCUUUUACUGCAACUCAAAAUCACCAAAUUUACACUGACAUUAACAAUAAUUUCAAGCAUUUUCAUCAUUUGUUUAGACCCCAGUUACCAAUUUUUCAGCACUUUGUAAAUGAACUUCUGAAAAUCCUUUCUAAUAGUAUUUACUAUCUUUGUAAGCUAACUUCCCUCCAACUGAAACCAAGUCAUCUUACAUCAAAAUUGAUGUAUUGGCAGAUCUGCAAAUAUAUUAUUCUUUCUACUUUUUACCGAAACAAAUAAUAAAAGUACCUACUUACACUGAAACUUCAAAAGUUCUUCGCCAUGAGUUACGCCAAACUGAAGAUGCCCGAUGACGCCAUGCAAUUUGCAACAAUCAAGUGAGGUACAUGUUAUGCCGACCAAUCUUCAAUAAAAUUAAGUGUUCUCUGUAGAAUCCUCACACUCCUCAGAUAUCAUAAAGUGAUCCAAAAGAGGAAUACCCAUAAUAGAGUUUUAUAUUUGUUGAUGCUCAAGUAGUAGUCACUUCUAAGCUCUUCUGAGAUAGAAAUAUCAGCUCAGACAACGAUUUUACAUAAUCUGGAAUAUCUUGCAGAGCGAUAGGAAAGGUUAGCAACAAGGAGACGCAAGAGUUCACGAUUGGCAAUGGGCAGAGCCAGUGGAAAGGAGAAGGAUUUUCGCUGGGUUUUCAUAGCCUUAUUCCACCGGGAUUAUUUGACCUAAUUAGAUUCCUUUUGCAACUGCUGAUAACUUCAAAAUUGCUAACUUCUCUGUUUUAAGCAUUUCUCUCUUAUUUUAUCCUAUCCAAUCCGAAAUACAGAAGUUCUUAUAGGUCAAGUGCCAGGUGACCACAAAGAAAGUAGAGAGAGAGAGAUUUACUUUAUUGCUAUACAGAACAAAUCAAGAAAAUUUUGACUUGCAUUGAGUUUGCAAUAAAGGAUUAGAAGAGGCACAGUUAUACAAGCACUAGAAAGAAGCUACAAGAACGCAAAUAAAAUCUAAAAUCUAAAAUCUAAAAUCUUCUAGUAUGGAGGAUGAUUCAUUCACAAUGACUACCGCAUGUGCGCGCACGUGUGGCGGCACUCAAAAAGGUACAUGCCAACAAGCAUAAAACUGUUGAAGCAUAUAAAAGUUGAAAGCCCUAAGUUUUACAGAAGUUUUAGCUGAAUAAUUUAUGAGUAUGGGAAGGUUUAACGAGGCAAACUAAUGUAAUGUAUGUUAACUGUCAAGUAACAAACUUGCCGAGAUAUUACAAGCAAUACAGCAAAUUUUAGUAUGUCAUGCAACAUAAAUAAAUUACAUAAUCAGGACGAAUCCACCUAAAAUUGCAAGGCAAAGAACAGAUACAGCAGGUCUGACUAGCACUAUCCACCCUCUAAAGGAUUAUGCUUAGUUUAUGGGCAAGAAAAAGAGAGAAUUAUUUCAAGAUAAAUCUAAAAGAACAAAUAACAAUAUAGUAGAAUUUGACCUUAGCUCGCUAAUAUGUGGUCCUCUUAGUUUCCCAAAAAAAUUAGAUAUCAGAAGUACUAGUACAAUUGCAUGUACCUUUGAAACCGGAAGUAUCAGUUUGCAACAGCAUAUUAUCAUUGAUUCAUGAGAAAAAAUAUUAUUGACAAAAUCAAGUCAAGCAAUUCACGUAGAUGUAAAAUGGUACUGAUUUUUCAGAAAUUACAUUUGUGAUGGAGACAUACUUCAAGGACUCUGACGUACGUUUUCUCACAUUAAUGUUACAGCCCUGCAACAUUUAAACCUGCAUUGAUAAAAGAUAUGUUGCGACAGCAAGGAGUGUUCAACAAUGCAAUAGCCAUUUAGUUCUACCAGUAACACUUGCCCCAAAGGUAAAUUGUUUCUUAUUGACAUGUUGCAUGCUUCAUUCGGAGGGGCAAACUAAAGAUACAAAUGGUUACUAAAUAAGGGGUUGACAUGCUAGAAAGAUUCUCUGUAGUUCGAGCAGCGAAACCAAUUUAUAUACGAACGUUCAGAUGACACAUUUAAUCAGAAACUCGUGUCCUACUUCGGCAACUCUAGAAUUGAUGCCGCCGAAAAUUGAAGUCAAAAGCUGUUUUCAGAAGGGAAGCUUUUACAACGAAAUGAACAGGAUUUUCAAUAGCUCGGACACAGCUAGAGUCUACAGAACUGAUUUCUCUCAGAAAUACAGAAAACAACCUGUCUAGCGCAAGCAACAAUUUUUCAUAAUACAGAACUCGGAUGCCAGUUAAAAUUCUCGUAUCAAUAAACAAAUGCCAAGACUAGCAGAGGACUCGGGCUGCAUACCUUCUACAUAUGCCGUGUGAAGAAAUAGAUGAAUCUUAUCACAAAAUUUAUAGGAUCUACAAAAUUUAUAGGAUCUACUGGAAAAAUAUGUGACAAAUUCAAUGGAGUUAUAUUAGCAUACAUCUUUUGCUUCUAUUUGCCUACUUUGUCUUCCUUCUCCAAGUGGAUUAUUUGUUAGUAUUAUGCAUGCAGAAAACUGGGGGAGUCUAUAGAGUAAGCAGCAAGGUCAGUCACUAGAAGAAAAUCAACUUGGAGAGAAGAUAUUAGUUAGACAUCAUCUAGACCGCCAGUGAACAUUAUACACCGCUUAAAAAGAAAAACAACAUAAACUCUGUUAAAUCCUCAUGAAAGGGCUAAAAUGUUUAGUUGAGUAGGAAGCUUUUGUAGGUGUAGUUCUAAAUAUCGAGUGCGAGCUUAGUAACGAAAUUAGAAUAAGAAAUGCAUCACUAGGCAAAAUUCCAAAAUAAAAGCAGAUAGAAAUUAAAUUUAAAAAAUAUAUAUGAAUUUAAAAACAAAAAUGAGCUAACCUAUUAGUACCUUGAAUGAUUGAUGAUGUAUAAUACAUAAGCUUCCUACCAUUGCUUGUUGGCUCUUCCAUCAACUCAUCGGAAGAAAUAGAAAUUUGACAAUUUCAAAAUCUUCGAUUAGCGGAAAAGUCACUUAUUACUUGGAGGUAAUUAACAAUCUUGACAAGGAAACCAAUACGAUUCAAAUGGUAAAAGUAACCAAAUAAAAGACUUCCUUACCUCGUUGAUGAAGAAGGCAGUAAAUAAAGGUAAGGAAGACAGCAGCUAAAAUUGCAUGGUGGCAUGGAGAAGCUGCAGCAAUCUGAAGAAUAAAAGUUAGCCCGUGAUAACGCAAUCGAAGAUUUAACUGCACGGCGCAAGUAGAUAAGUUUGUCCCAAUGGCAGCACCACAGCAAAAGAGAGACUAUUGUUUGAUAAUCUCACGGAUUAUAAUCUAAACAGAAAUCUAAAUAACUAUACAAACUGAAUAUGGGUAAGAAGUGUUACUCAAACUCAAGGUGUCCCAAAAGAAACCUUUGUAUUCCAGUUGGCUGCGCAUAAUGCACCACAAGAGAUAGCAGUUUAGCUUUCGACCUUAGGCAGCUAAGAUCAUCUAUUUGAGAAUAAACCAACGAAAAAUGAGAAUGAUCGACUGCACUACUUAUACAACUGAAUCAGCAAGCCACCAAACCUGUAUCAAUGUUAACUCAAAAAUAUAUUGCGAUGCGUAGUGAAAUGUCACCUCCAAUGUGUUGACUUAAGAUUCCACGCGAUGCCAAACUCACAAUGGUGUGUGUUCUUCAUUGAAUUUUAAGCAGAUUGUGAACAUCUAAAUCACUGAUCUGAAGUGAAUGAAAAAUCUUGCGAAAUUUGGGAAAAAUUGGAUAACUUCAUCAUAACUGCUAAGUGCAAGCCAUCAAAACCGACUUGAAGAAAUCUGCUAGUUGUCCUACCUAAGGCAGAAGCAUAGCUCAAAAGCUGCUACACUACCAACAGAUCCAUCAGGUAUUAAGCCCAAACAUCUCAAAGGAAUGCCAGAUUUAAAGAAUAAUGACAAAAGGUGGAGAGGAUAAGAUUCAUGCAAGUUAAAACAGAAAAAAGAUGACAUUAAUGUAAGAAAGAAAGUGAUCGGUAUGAAAAGCAGCAUACAUAUGACUGAGAUUUUGAUCUGGCGACAAAGCAAAUAAAGAUAAUUAAAGGCAAAAUAGAUGUAAGUUUUACCUAUUUCAGGACAAUUAAAACAAUUUGCAAAGCAUAUAAUGUUUUCGAUAUAAGGGACUACAAUCAACUUAAAUAAACCUGCCAAAAAUCUGCAAUAGAUGAUAAACAUGUCUACCACUUGAGCACAGCAUGCAGUCAUGACAGCAUACACAUGAACAGUAUUCUCAGUUUGCGCUUCACAGUUUAUAAAAGAUCACAAUAUCACUUCAAGAGCAGUCGAUAGAUCGUAGACAGUGAUACAAUUUUAUGAGGAUUAGGUUCCAGCUCAUCAGAAAGUAACCUUCAAAUUGCAAGGUCCAAGCAUUAACAUUCAGCUUCAAAAAAUAAAGGUUUUGAAGACACCACCAUGCGAUUAUAGCAUGGCAAGUAAUAUGAAACAAUGAGAAACAAUUCUUCAUUUGUUACUUUACUCAAUAAGAUUAUAUAAUCUUUUAAUUGUAGUUCGAACAUAAAAAAAUGAUGAGGAAAUCGAUGGUAUUAAAUAGCCAAUGCGAAGAAAGUGAUGGUAUUAGUUAGCCCAUUGACAAGGAAAUGCAGUAUGCUAGGUAAAUGUAGGUUUGGUAAUCUAUCCCAUUUGCAGGAAAGAAGACAGAAUAACCAUGUAACAGAAUUUAAUAAUAUAUAACAAGUCAACUGGUAUAUGACAUGCUGCCAUUGUCUUUCUCCAAUCUAUCCACUUCAGACAAUAUAUCAAGGCCAACGAAUAUUGUUCAACAUAGUUAAAAAAACAUUAAAAGUGCCAAAAGGGGAGGAGUGCGGGUCUGUGCUUCUUAGGAUCAGUGACCACCAACUAAUAAGGCACUCAAGGCUGCCUCACAACCCCAAAAAGAACAGAAGUCUCAACUUGACAAUAACAGUGACGGGAAGGAGAGUUAAAGUACACUAAAAACCUACACUUUUAAAUUGCAACGCUUUUAUUUGAUUACAACAAACAAGUAGGGUGCACAUGAGAAAGAAGAUUUUAGUAAGUUCAACAUUAUUCCAAUAAUAAAAACAUUUACGAGUGAAAUCACUUAAUUAUUGAGUUUUAAUAAAUCCAAUUCUACUCAAUUUGAUUCCAAACCAGUGUUCUAAAAGUCAAUGCAUGUAAUCACAUAUGCGCUCCUACAAGGGGAUGCAGUUGUUUGACCACCCGAUGUUGGCAGCAGUUACAAAUGGCAUAAGUUCCAUAUAAUAAGAAGAUGUGCAAGCUGCCAAGUAUCAUGCAUUUAAGACAAUAUAAGAAGGUUCAACACUGCAUGGCUAAGAUUAGCAACUUGCGCAGUUAAAUAUGAAAUUUGAUAUAUAGAACUUCAUUGGUAUUUCGAGUUUUCGACAAAUCAUUUCCACAAUUUUUCGGCGCAAUUUUACUAGAAAUGGUGAUACACUAUGCCUCAUGAUAUUUUCAAGUAUAUCACUUGAAAUUCUGUAUUCUGUUUAAGUUUUGUUGAUUCUAACUGUUGAUACACAAUGUCCUACAAAAAUAGCUUCGGAUUAAUAACAGACUUGAAUAUGCUGCUCAACCCUCAUAUUUCUUCUUGAUAUUCUUUUCUUCACUAAAAUUUGUGUAUUCUGUCUUCAUGUUGUUGAUUAUAUCUGUUAAUUAUCGUUGUUGAUACACAAUGCCCAACAAAAAUAGUUUUGGAUUAGUAAACAGACUCGCAUAUGCUGCUCACCCUCAUAUUUCUUCUUGAUAUUCUUUUCUUACGUUCUAGAAGAAAUUGCAUAAAGCAGAAUAAACAGUGUUCUUAGUAGCUAAAUUAAAUAUAAAAAAAGACAGCAUUUGCCCCCAAAAAAGACAUCUUAUCUACCAUACUUCAAAACGUUUUUGCGUAUUAGUAGGUGCACCACACCUUCUACUUAAUAUUUGACAUUUAAGAUAGGAGGUGACAGACUGACCUGCAACAUACUAUUCAUUUGUCCAAAAAACCAAAAAGAAUUCCAAUAUAAAGAUCCAAACAAUGCAUGCCAAAAUAUCAUUAAGUCACUUUGCAGUUUGCGUCCACAGUGCAUGUGUUAAAUGUCGAAUAAAUUUUGUCGUGACGGUAAAUAAAGAUUUGGCAUUUUGAGCGCGCUCCGACCUAUAAUAAUACAGACAAAAUAGGAUUCAUAAUGUGGAAUUUGAGAUCCUCACUAGAAUCUAUGGUUUUUUACACAAAAGUUCAAUUCAGAAAGGCUGAAUUUUUCAUCAUCUCAACUCCUCAUAAUGGAUCAAGAAGAAUAAUUGUGAACAUUUUAAUACAAAGAUCUUAGCAGGUAGCAGAAAAAGCACUGGAAAGUUCAUAUAAAUCCAUGAUAUAAGGAAAAAGCAGAUACAAACCCUAUGGCACUAGCUAGCUACAUGGUGCUGACGAGAGGCCAUAGCUCCCACUAUCCCCCUCCCCCAAAAUCAUAUAAUAGGAGUCUCAUUUUCCUACCUCUACAGAGUUACCUGUUGCAUCCCCAUGUCUCAAGUCUGGAUAUGGCUGUCCUAGCCUCAGGCUUCAUGAGAAUAUACGAGUAUAUUGUUGACCAAGGAUUAAAGUCCUACCCCAUAACGUACAGCACGGGGCGGCACGUACCGUACAGGGGGUGUCUUGGACCCCCCACUCCGUGCCGCGGCACUGUGUGCGUGUGAUUUUUUUUUUUUCCUUUUUGUUUUGUUUUUUGGGGUACCAAGAAACAUCUAGAUACCCCACAUCCCCCAAAGACAUUGCAAAUCGAAGAUCUACUUUUUAGGUAAGUCAAAAAAAUUAUAAUUUAAAUUUUUUUAUUUAUUAAUAUACAGGCAAAUUUUUAAUUUACAUAUCCGAUCCAUACCGCGGGGAGUGAAGCCCCCCCGCAAACCCCUCGGAUGUCAGUGGUGGAAGCAGAGGGCUUGAGCCACUCUCCCCCCCCGGGUGUCAAUGGUGGGCUGCGGCCUUGGGCGGCACAGACAUCCUUUUUUCUUCACAAAUUAUUUUAUCAAAAUUUGUCGUAUCGCGAAACUUUUGGCGAAUUAGGAGAACAAAAUCGAAUUCAAUAAACAAAUUUUGAUGCACAUCAAAUAUAAAAUUUUAUUUUUGCGUUAGAAGAUUGAAAAUACUGAUAAAAUUAAAACCUAAAUUAAAUCAAUUGAUACUUAAAUUUAUUUAAUUUAUUUGUCAUAUAAUUUAUUGCUUAAUUUUUUUGAUAGAUCUAAUAAUUUUUGGAAAAAAAUUAAUCAAAAAAAAUUUUUUUCAAAUAAUUUUUAAAAUUAUUUUAAAAAUUAUUUUUUUGUAUUUUAUAAAAGAAAGACUAUAAUAUGGUCAAAAGAAAGAAAGAAAGAUAUCUUUGCAUUUUAAAAAUUCCAACCUACAAAACUUUCUAUUCUGUAUCAGAUAUAGUUGUACUUUACAUACAAAAAAACUUACAAGUACGUUAAUUGAUGAGUACAGUAAAUUAUACAUUGCAAAUAUUCAUAAUUAUUUGAUUAAAUUUUUCAAAAUAAUAUUAUAAGAGCUUAUUGGAAUCAAAAAAAUUGAAAUAAAUUUGUGCCAAAGCGUGCUUGUAGGAGGUCAUGCGUAUCUAUCGGCACGCAAGCGUACCAUGUGUCGGCAUGGAAACGUGCCGGUGCCGUACCGUGCCAGACAGACAGCGGCACGCCUCAAUGCUACGACACUUUAAACCUUGUUGUUGAGACAAUUAUUGCACUUUGUCAUUAGUGUAAUCAGCAACUCAUUGUUUCAUCGUGAACUGAACUACAAUGCAUAACUAUGGGAAAGGGAUCUGACUGAAAAGCCUGCAACAAGGAGUUCCACAUGGUGACGCCUAUUCCCUAAGGAUGUCUUGGUAAGCAAAGUUUACAUUGUGCAACUAAUAAGAUACCUAUUAGAACAAUAUAAUGAGCCAUAGGAGGAUAGAAUAUCUUUAUCAUGCUAAUCUAAAAGCCAAAGUCAAGCUCCUGAGGCACGCUAACAUCAAGGACACUAUGCAGCUAAUCCCCAAUCCCCUUGUUAUGGAAAAGAGUUUUAAGAGGCUCAAGAGCAAAGUUUGUAAAUCGCUACAACUAAAAUAGAAAACUGCUCACAUAGCCUCUAUCUAUUGAAUUUAAAAACCAGUGAAAGAUGCAGAAAAAGACAGAAUCAUAGGGAAAGAGCCGCUAUGGCCUAAGACAAGUUUGAGACAAGCCAAGAGCAACAUCCAUACCUAAUAAAGACACAGUGGUAUUGAUUUAGACCAACAGAAAAGAAGAUAUGGUGACAUUUGGAAGUGAUAUGCUGGCCCUCAAGUCAAGAACUGUUCAUGCUUUUUAGUGUAACAGUCCAAAGGGCCCAGCACUAAUCUUGAUUCUCGAUCACCUCCUCAAAUGGUUUGACAGGAGUCCAAGUUUUGGUAUUAGAAAGUUGAAAUAUUUCUUGAUACGCGUGCAAAUCAGUAAAGUGGAGCUCAAGUCUGAUCCAGAAAAAGGAGGUUCUUUUCAUUAGUGGUUUUGCUUUUGCUUAAUUGCAGAAAAGCUGACUACAAAUAUAACAGUUUUCAUUUUGCCCGCUUCCCCCUCAUCUUCCUGACAUGCUAAAACCAAUAAUUAUCGCCCGAAAGGUUUAACUAUAAGGUUUCAUGACCAUAGCUCUUUCGCCAGUGUUCCAUCAGGUUAUAUUUAUCACUUGAUUCAUAGGCCAAAGGUGUAAAUGUUAAGCUUUCAGGAGUAUAAUAUUUACAGGGAUUUCCUGCAUUUGAGCCUACAGGUUAUAUUCUAAGGUAACAUCUCUAUCCCAUAGAGCUUAGCUGAGCUCUUCGCUCCCUCUUGCCUAGAAUUCCGCUAGUCCACAAUACCACUUUCAUGUGAUUAAGUACAUUACUGUGAAAAACCAGAUCGACACCAAAAUAGAAUGAAUAUCAAUAUACCGGCAGUAAAGGAUAUAACAGCUGUAUAUUGAGGACACGAGCUACUUCAUGCUAGCAACAGAAUUUCGACCCAAUUAUUAGAAAAUGUAUGAUCAUCUAAUGGCAUAGCUAAAAAUCAAAGUUCUCUUACCAACUAAAGCAUGUACUUUGUCAGCUCCUAAAAUUCAUUAUAUCUUCAUGAAACUACACAUUGAGGUACAAAAAGAAAAAAAAUGAAUUGUAAGACUUCCAUACCCACCUAAAACAAUGAAUUUGACAUACAGGAGCACAUAAUACAUGUAGGUUUUCCCCACCUAAAAGCCUAACAUGAUAAGUAUAAUACGAAAGUUAACCCUAUAGAAGGGAAAGAGCACAGUUUGAGGAGGGAAAGAAACCUCUACCGGAAAUGUCUGGGGGAGCCAGUCUUAUCAUCAAUGCCAGCCUUGCCUUUCCUACGAAGCUUAUGAACAUUCUACAACUUUUCUUAUAAUCGGCGACGCUAAGCUUUGCGCCCAAUGUUGUAGCUUUCUUACCUGGCUCAGCAUUAACCAUUUGAAAUCAUUUUGACAUAAAGGUGGCAACCCUUGAUUCCUCUUGAAUUUCAACAUAAUGCAUAAGCCCGGCGUUCAAUUUCUGCAAGACCCAUAAAUGAAAUUUUGGACUAGAGGGAAAUGUUUGUUCCUCUUGAAAGUUUUUUGCUCAAACCACCGCAGGAGGAGAUGAUCGGUACGGGCUCGAUACCAUGCUAUUAACCUUGCCAUUCGAGUGUCUGACCCUAAAGCUUCGGGAUUUACCCGGCCUAUGCUGAAAGAGCGACCCGAGCAUCUUCUCCAAGUCCUGGGCCGUGUACUUUGCGUACUUGCUCGCACUCGCAUCCUGCUCGACCAAAGGCCCGUAAUUUUGCAUGUAGCUCCGGUACACGGGCACGAUCGCCUGCACGACCAAAUGGCACGUCUUCUCUCUCAAGUCCUUGUCCGAUAUGACCCAAUUCGAUUGCUUCUGAUACAUCUCGUCGAAGCUCUCGUUGAAUGAUUUUAGCCUCCUCUUCACCAAGUCUCGAGCCGUGGCCCUUCCUCCCGAGAACAGGAUGAGGCCUUCCCUGCUUAACAAAGACGGGAGCUUCCCCCAGCUCUCCCUCAAGAACAUGGCGGCAUAAUACUCCUUGUACUGCUCGUGAUCCCUCAGCCACGGAUCGCCUAGCAACUCCCCGAGCUUGGUGCCUUUCAGGUGCUUGAAGAAAUGCCAAUGCGUGUUCAUCAUGAAGAGGUAGGAAAGCACCGCAUCGUCAUCGUCGUAGCCUUUGGACCAAUUAUCGAAGUUGGUCUCGAGGGCGGCGACGAUCUUCAAGAUCGCUUCGGACAACAACUUGUCGUGAAACUUCUCGCGCUUCCAGCUCCGGUGUAUGACCAGCACUUGGGUGAGCACCGGGCGGUACUCGUCGCUGAGCAGGCGGCCGAGGUAGUCGGUAAUGAAGCUCACGAGCUUCGGGACGGCGCCGUCGGCCGGGGGCGGCGUGUAGCUCUGCAGCUCCACCUGCACGAGCAGCUCCCAGAAGAUCUCGCACGCCCCCUCGACGACCCGCUUGAUGAGGUCGCGCGUCUGGUUCUGGAUCUCGGCGCAGGCCCUGCCGCCGAAGAGGCGGUUGAAGUCGAGCCGCAGCUUGUUCAGCGAGUUGAAGAUCUCGAGGCAGCGGAGGAGCUUGAUGGGGUCCUUCUUGGUCUCCGCCACGGCGCGCCCGAACCGGAGGAAGGCAAGGAUGCCGGCAUCGGCGGCGAUGUCGGCGAAGCACGCGGCGCCCGCGUCGGGCUCGAACACCUCGGCGCAGAGCUUGUACUCGGGCUCGAAGAGGUGCUUGACGGCGAAUUCCAGGUGCCGGCCCCAGCGCUCGACGAGCGGGCCGAGGGCCUGCGCGUCGUCGGCGUCGGAGGCCUCGUCGAGGUAGCCGAGGCCGAGCCCGGACGCGGUGUGGACCCGCGCACACGUCGGACGUAAGGCCGCACACGCACGGUCGAGGGCGGCCGGUUUGGCGCCAGAGGGCGGCCGGGAUGGCGAGGAGCUUCUGGACGCGCGGACGGCGGGAUCCGGAACGGGCGAUGGCGGCUCGCGGCGGCGGCGGAAUGGCGCCGGCGGCGCGGGGAGCGGGGCGGAGUUUGUCGCGAGGAGCGGCGGAACUCAGGACUCGAGCUUGUCGAGGGCGGCGGAAGAGGAGCUGCCGUCGAGGGUCGGCGGCGGAGAGGGAAGGAAUGGUGACCUUAGGUCGGACGAGGAACGGGGGGCGAGGAGUGGCGGCGAGGAAGUCCGAGGAUGUGCGUGACCAUGCAGGGGACCGCGUUCUCGGCAGAGGAAGCGGAGGGCCUCCUCGAUGGAGCGGCGAGGAGGCGGUAGCCGGGAGGUUCUCGUGGCGGGGUCGGAAGCAGCGACGGCUCGAGCCCCAGUGCAGCCGCGUCGAACACCUUCAGCACGACGGCGGCGGCGUGGGUGGGAGGUUUGGCCGGUCCCACGGCGCGUGUCGAUGGUGGCCCCCACGGCCGACAGCGCCUCGCGCCGGGCGCGGAUCGGGCGGACGGCCGCCUCCAGGGACGGCAGCCGCUGCCGGAUCUCGCCCAGCCGCGGCCCCGCCCGCGACAGCGCCGCCGACAGCGCGCGCGACUUCUCCAGCCCCGCCCCCAGCGACCGCCGCGCCGCCGUCAGGCUCGCCACCGCCGCCGCGUCCUCGUCCUCGUCCCGCAUCAUCCCUUCGAUUUGAUUCACUUUUACCUCCUCCUUCUUCUUCUUCUUCUUCUUCUUCUUCAACACAUUAAUAAUAUCCAGUUUUUUUUUUUUUCCUUUAUUGGGUGGGAAGUGGACUAGCUAAUGUUGACCGGGGAGGGGAGGGGAGGGGAGGGGAAGGGGAUGUGUUUUGGUAGGAAAAAAGUGGAGGAGGUGGUGGUGUUGAGAAGCGAAAGUGUUGAAUUGAAAAGGUGGGGGGAGGAAAGAAGGGAAAGAAGGGAAAGGGGGAAGAGGAAGGGUUUGGUGAGAUGUUGGGGAGGAUACUGGGGUGGGGUUGGUUUUAGUGUUUUAAUAUUUUGUUGGGUUGUGAAAGGGGCGGAAUCUCAGAGCGAGAGAGAGAGGGGGACUGGGGGAGUGGGGAGGCUCCUUUUUGGAUUUUGGAGGGGUUUGAGACAGAGUAAUAAGCGCUAACUCAAGCUGGAGACCAUUUUGCUGUUGCAAGCAAAAUUGCAUAGAGAACCAUCACCUACAGAUUAUUCUGAAAUAGAUUCUUCAGUGAAUUUUAAUUUUUUUUUCUAUUUUAAUGUACGAAUCUAAUCUAAAAUAUAUUAGAUAAAAAGGUGGACUUCAAAUACCACUAGGUAGUUUCGUACUUUUUCACUUUAAUAUUCUAUAGUUUAAAGUAUAUCAAGUUAGUGUCCUGUAGUUUUAUUUUUAUUUUUUCGUCAAUUUUUCCGUUAAUAUUUCGUUAAAUUAUAUACAAAAAAACUUCAGAUAUCUUAUCUAAAUUUAUCGAAUAUUCACUUUAGUAUUCUUUAGUUUUAAUUUUGCCACUGAUUUAAUAAAAAAAAUUAGCGAAAUCAAUAAUACAAAGAUAAAAAUGAAACUAUAAGAUACUAAAUUAAUACACUUUAAAUCAUAGGGUAUUAAAGUAAGAAAGUGUGAAAUCACAGGAAUAGUAUUUAAAGUUUUUCCUAGAUAAAAUUUACUCUUAGGCCCUGUUUGGAUGGAUAGUCAAAAAACUCCAUGGAAUUUUUAUUCUAUGAUUUUGAUCUAAAUAAAAUACGGAAUCCUGUAACUACAAAAAAAUUCCACAGCUUCAUUUUUAAGCUGUUUGGAUACAUAUCAUACAAUUCCAUAGUAUUUAUAACAAUUAAAUUUCUAAAAUUUUAAAAUUCAAAAUUCAAAACUCAAAAUUCAAAAUUCAAAAUUCAAAAUUUAAAAAUAAAAUUUUAAAAAUUAAAAAUAAAAAUUCAAAAUAUAAAAUUAAAAUUUAAAAUUUAAAAUUUAAAAAGUAAAUUAGAUUUUAUGUUUUAAAUUUGAAAUUUGAAAUUUGGAAUUUGAAAUUUCAAAUUUGAAAUUUGAAACUUUAAAAUUUAAAACUUAAAGUAUACCAUUUAAACUUUAAAUUUUGAAAUUUAAAAAAUCUAUAAUUAAAAUUUUAAAUUUCAAAUUUAAUAAUUUAUAAAUUUACAUAUUUAUAAAUUUAAAAUUUUAAAUUUAAGUUUAAAUUUAAAUUUUGAAGAUUGAAAAUUAAAAAUUAAAAAUAAAAUUAAAAUUUGAAAUUUGAAAUUUGAAAUUUGAACUUUUUGAAAUUUGAAAUUUGAAAUUUGAACUUUUUGAAAUUUGAAAUUUGAAAUUUGAACUUUUUGAAAUUUGAAAUUUGAAAUUUGAAAUUUUAAAAUUGAAAUUUGAAAUUUGAAAUUUGAAAUUUGAACUUUUUGAAAUUUAAAAUUUGAAAUUUGAAAUUUAAAAUCAAAAUUAAAAUUGAAUUUUAAAAUUUUAAAAUUUAAAAUUUAAAAUUUUAUGUUGAAAUUUAGAAAUUAAUUAAUCUUUAGGAGCCCAAAAUGGUGGAAUUUUUUUUCUUUGGUUAAAGUGGGUUGUAAGUUUACUCCAUUUUUUGGAGUAUAGUAUAACUAUACUCCAAAAAUUACGUCAUUUUUUUUUUUCUUCCAAACGCUUCAUAGGAUUAUUUUUCUACCAGCGUAGCAUAGUUUAACUAUGCUACGUUUUUAGAGGUAUCCAAACGGGGCCUUAAUUUUUUUUUUUAAGCUAUUUGAACUCUAAAACUUCUAAUGUUAUUAUCUAACAUUAGAGUAUCCAUAAUAAAUUGAGAAAAUUUUUUUUCCGAAUCAUAUUAUUUUUUAUAAUUUUUUAAUUAAUAAAUUAAAAUAACUAAAGGUCAAGUGCGUAUUUCUGAAGUUCUAUAAAAUUCAAAAAAUAAUAAUAAAAUUUCUAAUAUAAUAUAUAUAUAUAUAUAUAUAUAUAUAUAUAUAUUUCAAAUUGAGUUAUAGUUUAAAAAGGUUUGUGCAUUUUUACCUUCUUUAAACUUGAUAUCUUUCAAAUCAAUUUUUUUUAAAAAAAUAUUCUGGUUUUUUUUUUAGCUAAUGAAAUUAUAGUUUUUGUUGAUAUAACUAUUAGAGAUAAUUAUUUAUGUAUUUCUCAAAAUUUCAGAAAUAUUUCAUUUAUCUUUGUUUUUUUUUCUUUUCAAUAUACCCCUUUCUCCAUUAUUCCAAAAUAUCCCCGGUUACCACCCAUUAAGUUAAUUUGGAUUAAACGUAUAUUAAAUAUCUACUAGAGUUUAAAAAAAGAAAAAAUCAAAAUGUCUCUUUUGCCCAUAACUUAAGGCAAAUAAAAAAUAUUGGUGAUGAUAGAAGAGUAUAUUUGAAAAGAUCAAAAAUCAAAAUACUUUUUGUAUUCCUAAUUUAAAGGCAAAUUAGAAAAGUCGAUAAUAAUGAAAGAGUAUGUUUGAAAAGGCAAAAUAGUAAUUUCAUACAAAUAACAGCUAUUAUUAGCAGUUUAUUAACAAAAUUAAACUCUAGUAAUAUAUUUGAAAUAGGUUGAAAUAUAAAAAAAAAAAUUUAAUAUUAUUCUUCUAAAAAAAAAGAUAGUCGAAAAUUUUUAAGAAAUAUAUAAAUAAUUGCCGCUCACUAUUAAUACCAAAGAAAGUCAAACUAAAAAAGAAAAUAAAAUAAAAUAUUGAGAAAAAAUAACUAGUGCAAAGGAAGUGUUACAAAAUCAAAUAUAAGUUGGGGGACCUCCAUGCAUUUUUACCUGUCCUUGACACUUUGUAGAUAGAAUAGUUUGUUGGUGAGUUAUUAGGCAUAGCUGGUGUUUUUGGUGGUGGGGAAUUUGGAUGGGAUCGAAAAGAAAUGGACAGGGGAUCUGGAACGUGGUUUUCCAUCGAAGAUAACAAUAAUAAUAUAUAUACAUAUAUAUAUAUUUUUUAAUUGGAAAUUUUGUUGUUCUAAGAAGUCUAAUGUUGAGGCUCGCCAGAACAUUCUAGAUGUGUGGGAAUUUUAAAGCAUGACAGCUUGCCGAGCCUAGCUUGAAAUGAUGGACGCAACUUGACAUAGUCAUCCCAUCUAAUUUAUUGAAAACUUUUGAAAAAAGCUUCAAAAUAACACCCUUAUAAUUUCACACUUUUUUAAUUUAGUAUUAUGUAAUUUAAAGUGUGCCAAUUUAAUGUCCCAUGGUUUCAUUUUAUUUUUUUAUUAUCGGUUUCACUCAUUUUUUCGUUAAAUAAGUGAUAAAGUUAAAAUUAAAGAGUACUAAAAUAAAUAUUCGAUAAACCUAGGUGAGGUAUCUGAAGUUUUUUGUAUACAAUUUAACGAAAUAUUAACGAAAAGACUGACGAAAAGAUAAAAAUGAAACCACAGGACACUAAUAACUUCAUACAGUUCAAACCACAAAAUAUUAAAGUGAGAAAAUACGAAACCACGAGGGUGGUAUUUGAAGUUUACCCAAAACUUUAUACAAUUCUUUGAGAUACAGUACGUUAGAGGAGUUAUAAUACAACUGUCACAGGUAUAGUUGCACGCCACAGGUAACCCAAUUCAACUAAAGAGAAAAAUUUCGACCGUUCAUAUAGCGCAACUGAUAAAAGAUUUGAUAGUUUAUAACCAAAGUUUCAAGUUCGAAUUCUAAUUAAUUUAUAUUUUCAACUAAGUUUAUGUUUUUUAAAAAUAAGCAAAACGAAUAGUAUAUUAUCUUUCUCUCAAAGAAAAAAAAAAACUAAAGAGAAAAAUAAAAAAAAAAGUCUUAAAAGAAUCUGAGUUAACACAUAAAAAUUACAUUCGAACAAAUCUAAUCUUUGGUUGUUGAUUUGGAGAUUUCUCGGCGAACUAAGUUUCCUUACCCGGAAGUGUUUUUGUUCAACACUUACAUUGCCGGGCAAUCUAACCCGUCCGUACGCCGGGCAAUCUGACCCGUCCUACCAACACCUAUGGAAACUUAAGACUCUUGUCAAAAUCAAGAUCUUUGUAUGGUUGCUCCUUCGCAAAAGGCUCCUCACGGCCGACAGACUUAUCAGUCGAGGGACUCUCGUGAAACCUUCCUGCAUUUUCUGUGCACUAUCCUUGGAAAGUGUCGACCAUCUUUUCUGCAAUUGCGUUUUUGCUCGUUUUCACCAACUGGCUGAGGCACCCAACAGUGCUUCGGGCGACGACGUCCGAGACCUCUGGAACUUACUAUCACAAAUCCCCGACGCCAAUAAAAGGGUAAAAGACUAAACCAAACUUGCGGCUAUUUGGUAGGUUGUCUGAACCGAGUGAAACAGCUUUAUCUUCCGUUCGAACCUUCCUAACGUCGUCAGAGUCUCGGCUAGAGCAUUAUCACUGUCUAACUCUUGGAUCUCGCUCCUGUAACCUCCCCCCUCUAAUCUUUUUCUUUUCCGUCUCUAUUUCUUUUUCCAUUUUCCCUCUUCGUUUCACUGCUGUCCCUUUUAUACUUCUUUAUUUUCUUUUCUGUCUUUGCCAAGGAAGCCUAAGCUGUUUCCAUCUUGUACACUAAGUUCAUCUUUCCAUCUUUCUCAAAAAAAAACACUUACAUUGCGAAAAUUGUGUAAAGUACAUUUACUAAUAAGCUUACAAAAAUAAAUAACAUAUUUAUAUUUAAAAGUCAAAGUACUGUUGACUAAUUCAAAUCAAAUAUGAUAGUGGAAUUAAAAUUUUGAAAAGUUAGAUAGCCAACUCAAUAUGGUCCGAAGUUCACGUUAAUUCUGUAUUUUUUUUUAUCUUUUACAAUUUAAAUGAAACUAUUUCUUUAAAAAGUUUAACUUCUUUUU
rnacentral:lncRNA from 1 species